rnacentral:rRNA from 1 species
GACGAACGCUGGCGGCGUGCCUAAUACAUGCAAGUCGAGCGAACGGACGCGGUGCUUGUUCCUCCUGUGUUAGCGGCGGACGGGUGAGUAACACGUGGAUAAUCUACCUUUAAGCGGGGGACAACUUCGGGAAACCGGCGCUAAUACCGCAUGAUAUUUUUAACCACAUGGUUCAAGAGUGAAAGACGGUAUUGCUGUACUUAAUAGUUGUCUCGCCGCGUCUUUAGUUAGUUGUGAAGUAAACGCGUUACCACGGGAAGGAUGCAAAGCCGACUUAGGAGGUGGAUCGGCAGCACGGGAACGAGAACAGGCACCAGACGCCUACGGGAGGCACCAGUAGGGAAUCUUGCGCAAGGGGGGAAAGCCUGACGGAGCAACGCGGCGGGAGGAAUAAAGUUCUCCGGUGCGGAAAACGCUGUUAUUAGGGAAGAACAUAUUUGGAAGGAACUGUGCACAACGUGACGGUACCUAAUCAGAAAGCCACGGCUAACUACGUG